GUGCAGCAGGCGAGAAUCCUCUGCAAUAGGCGAAAGCUUGACAGGGUUACUCUGAGUGGUUUCCGCUAAGGAGAUCUUUUGACACCUCUAAAAAUGGUGUAGAAUAAGGGGUGGGCAAGUCUGGUGUCAGCCGCCGCGGUAAUACCAGCACCCCGAGUGGUCGGGACGAUUAUUGGGCCUAAAGCAUCCGUAGCCGGUCCUACAAGUCUUCCGUUAAAUCCACCUGCUCAACAGAUGGGCUGCGGAAGAUACUAUAGGGCUAGGAGGCGGGAGAGGCAAGCGGUACUCAGUGGGUAGGGGUAAAAUCCUCUGAUCCAUUGAAGACCACCAGUGGCGAAGGCGGCUUGCCAGAACGCGCUCGACGGUGAGGGAUGAAAGCUGGGGGAGCAAACCGGAUUAGAUACCCCGGUAGUCC
rnacentral:rRNA from 1 species